AGCAAGGAUGGGAGCCUGCUGCACUGUACGUUUUUGGAGACAAAAGCAAUUUAAAGAAUUUAAAGAAAGAUUCGUAUCUUAAUAUUGAUUUCGUUCCUAUUGAGAUACCGGAUGUACGUGAUCUCAAAACCAGCUUACGUAAGUUGUUCAAAGUUUGCUGUCCCAGCAAUCCCCCUAAAGAUUUAACACAAGGUGAUCCAUUUUUCAAGUCGUUGCAAGAUACUGAUUGGUUGAAGCAGUUAUCGCUUGUACUUCGGAUAUCCGGUGCUGUCGUGGAUCUUUUGGACAUUCAGGGAUCAUCUGUUCUUGUCUCGUUUGAAGAUGGAUGGGACAUUACUACACAAGUAAGCUUCAUUUAAGCACCUACCUUAUGUUAUUUACUAAAGUUACUUGUUACGUAUGCUCCUAUAAACCAUUGAGGUCUUGCAAAGCAUCUUUUAUAUUGGGUCAUAUUUCAUGUAAGAUCUCCUUUUAGUAGCGU